ensembl:lncRNA uncharacterized LOC114470598
UUCUUCUUCUUCUUCUUCUUCUUCUUCUUCUUCUUCCUCUAUUAAUUAAUAAAUAAAAAAUAAAUAAAUAUUAGAAAAUAAAUAAUUAAAUAAAAUAAAAAUAUCUUACUUUGUAAACAAUUUCAUCAAAUCAAAAGUAAAAAGCUAGGCCUAAUAUUCUAAAUCAAUUCAUUCAGAAAAGCUCAACAACUACUAAGGUACAUGUAUGUUUUAAUAAAAACAUUAGUUCAAAGAUAGUUGGAAAACAGCCAAAAAAAUAUUUUAUUUUAUUCUUCGUGACUCUAAUUUAAUUAAUAAUAAAUGAUCUAGGAAGUUUUUUUUUUUGUUUUUUUUUUAAAUCCCUCAGAGGAAACAUAAAGUGCUUGUCAAUCACAUGUUGUGGUAAAGUUGUACGUGGAGUUUUUGUUGUAAUGUUCCAUCGGUUCUAUCACCAUCACUGCCCCCUACCGACAGACAUGCGCACUGCAUCACCGACGGACAGUCACCUGUUGAUGAUCUUGCCGACCCAGACAGUGUAAAAUAUUAAAUAAAACCCUUAACACUGUCUAUCAGAUUUUUUUGUAAUUAUAUAGGGGAAAAAAGGUAAUUUUGUGUGACUCUGAAGGAGGAAGGCAUCGUUAAAGACAGAGAGCUGCAGUGGAUGGAGACAUGUGGUGCUUCCAGAUACCACAGUUUGAAGCCCAUGUCAUCUCAAAGUUGCAGAAGCAGCAGCAGUGCAACCAGUUCUGUGACACCUUGCUCAAGGCUGAAGGUGUGUCCAUACCUGCACACAGCUGGAUUCUGUCGGCCAUCAGCCCGGGCAUCUCCUCUGCAUUCGCUUCCACGGCGGCGCCGCCCGUCGGCUUCACCCAGCUGCUGGAAUUUGGAGCGUUUGGCGCCUGCUCGCUGUUUCACGUGGUCCAACUGCUGUACUCUGGUCAGAUGAUGGGGAAGGGCGAGAAGGAGAAACAGGAGGCCUUUUCUGCUGCUGCCAGGCUGGGCAUCCACGGGCUGGUGGAGGUGACGAGGACUGACAGGAAACAGAGGAACCAGCAGGAAGUGAGGGAGGUGGGCGUGCAGACGGAGCCGGAGGAGGAGGAGCGAUUGAGGAGAGAGACGAGAGGCAGUAUCCCGCCACGGCAGCAAGAGACAGCGUCAGGGAUUGGAGUCAACAUGUGGACUCAGACAGAAGAAAUAAAGGCAAAGGAAUCUCCUCCUGAACUAGCGGUCACCUAUCAGACCCUGGACGUGAGUGCUCUGCAGAUGGAGACCAACGAGGAUUCCUCACACAUGAUCCCUAUAUCUUUCAUCUACUCUCCUGAUGAAGACCAACCAGCCCAACCGUUGUCUCCUUGGUCACCAUCAGAAUUCACAGAUUCUCAGCCAAAUACAUUGGUUUCAUCACUUCCUCAGUCUAUAAUAAGUGGUCUUGAUGCUAGUUUGGCGAUCAGUCCUUUACCAGUGAUAGCAGAAGAACAGGACAAGCACUUAAAACAGUUUGAAGGAAACAUCUCAGGGUUCAUAAGCAACUUCCUAAACCUGAACCGAGAGAGCGGUCCCUGUGGUAGGAGGCCAAGGAGGCCACAAGGUGGAAGGCGGCGAAGGUCGGCUGAGAGGAAAUCACCCAGAAAACACUAUGUGAGAAGACAGGGUGUGCUGACUCAGAUAGUGGAUUUUCAGCAGGUGUGGGUGGUGAGCAGGCAGCACAAGCUCUUCAUGCAUCGAACAGGGUGGAGGUCGUGUCCUAAAGGACAGGGUGGAGGCGCUGUGGGCAGGAGGACACACCUGAAGACCAGAGUGCUGCUGAACACCUCCACCAAUCAGCAGAAGACAAGAGUGCGCAGCAAAGUGUGGGAGGUGAGCCCGAGUGGAGAUCUACGGCUGAGAUGUGGGAGGAACUCCACAGCACAGCUAAUGAAGCAGGGCAAUCUCUCUGCCUCCCUGGGUGAAAGGUCAAAGGCCAAAUCAACCCUAACCACCACUGUUUCUACUCAACCUGUGCAAACCUGGGAUGCUGAAGCUCCUCCUGUUCCUGGUCCCGUCCUCCAAUUGUCUCCUUCAGCUUUACACUUUCUGCACCCUCUUCAGACACCUCUGUCUCCUGAUCAGCCUCAGUGCAUUAAUCACCUGCUGGAGAAGGUCCCAAUGGGCCAAGAGAUUCAGCCCAACAGAGACCAACUGCCCUCAGAUACAGGGACUGUCACCUCUAUCUCCUCUGUUGGCAACGUUGCCCCAGACCAUCCUCAGGGCAAUACUCUGAGUCUCCAAAGAAGCACAGAGGCUGUUAAUGGACUAAAGAGAGGUGCUGGUUUAAAACCAGACCAUGAGGAGGACAUAGCUCUGGAAAAGGAGUGUGAGGGAGAGAUGAACCAGAUACUGGAAAAGUUCCUGGAGUCGUUUGAGCAGCACAUUGACUGUGCCCAAGAGGAAAGAGAUGCAGGCAGCGAUUUCACAAGCUUCUUUGAAAGCUCCAUGACCACGCCCCUCCCACCAAGUCCCCGAGCAACAGCGCCUCAGAGGGAUGAAAGACAGCAGAUCAGCUCAUUGCCACACCCUGAACCCAACGGUACACCAGCCAGAAGUCUGACCAAUAGAGGACCAAAGAGCUCUCAGCUGUUAGAGAAGAUGCUGAAGGACAGAAACAUGUGGCUCAAUAAAGACGUGCUGCUGUGGAAUCCUGUGGUGAAAGUGAACAGGAUUAAAGUGAUACCAGUCAAAGCGACGCGGAUGGGACUUGACUGUCCAAAUCCCAGAAACAAGGGCGGUGGAGAAUCUAAAAGGAAGCGUUUGAAAGCUGAGCGUCCGCCAACAGCAGACAGGCGUCAGGUAGGCGUUCACAGAAGGAACAGGUGUGUGAAGAGCAACGGUUCAGAUAUACGGCCAGUAGACGGUCGGUCUAAGAGUACGGAGAAGAUCGCUCCGAAACAAGCUAAGAAGAGAGGAAGAAAGAGGAAAUCAGACUCCAAAGAUGUAGUUUCUGCAAAGGUUUGCUUUGAUCAAAGAUGCUCACCUGCAGACGCCACCGCUGUGGAGCCAAACUGCAAAAGAGAGCCGAGCACAGAUAAGAAAAGUAACCAAGAUAAAGAGGUUGGACACACAGACACAGCGUCUGUUUCAGCUUCUGCUGACGUCAAAACUCUGCCGGAGCUCAAGGUGGAGUCAGCAGGAAACCAGGGGGAAGACGACUACAUUGAUGUGGUCACAGCUGCAAGUCCGGCCCCUAGUCCAGUUAUCUGCUGGAUCGAGUCUUCAGCGGGUGAGGAAGAGGAGGAAGACAUCGACGUGAUUUCAUAAGAUUGUGAGUGUUGGUCUUCUGACCAUAACUGUUGCAAGUACUGCAGAGUUUGUUGAAAUCUGAGUGACUUUGGUUCAUUUUACUAUUCUCUGCUCUCAGUUUGUCAUCUACAACAGGUUGGUUCCCCAGUGAUUAUAAGUGGAGGUCACUAAAGUUUUAAAUAAUCCAGUGGUUUUAAAAAGAAUAAGGCACAGACAGUGUGAGUUCUGGUUAUGCUGAUGUUUAGAAAGUAGUUUCUAACCUGUUUUCUACAGACUGAGAUUUAAAGUGAAUCCCCUCAAAGCUCAGAAGUGCUGAAAGAGUUGCAUUAAAACACAAUUAUGUCAAUUCAGGGUGUAUUUAGAUUCUGUUCAUUAGUACACAGAGCUGAUGUACCAGGGCUUGUUCUUUCAAAUAUGUUAUUGUUAGUUUCUUCUCAUAUGUUCAGCAAAAUGUUGAAGGAAAAAAAAAGCACUUAGCUCAGCAGUUUAGAGCAAGUUUUAGUGAAAAUUAGUGUUUUUAUGAGACG